rnacentral:rRNA from 1 species
CUACGGGAUGCUGCAGUGAGGAAUAUUGCACAGUGGGGGGAACCCUGAUGCAGCAACGCCGCGUGGAGGAUGACGCAUUUCGGUGUGUAAACUCCUUUUAUAUGUCAAGAAAAUGACGGUAGCAUAUGAAUAAGCACCGGCUAACUCCGUGCCAGCAGCCGCGGUAAUACGGUGGGUGCAAGCGUUACUCGGAAUCACUGGGCGUAAAGGACGCGUAGGCGGGUUGGAAAGUCAGGUGUGAAAUCCUACAGCUUAACUGUAGAACUGCACUUGAAACUUCUGAUCUAGAGUAUGGGAGGGGGAGAUGGAAUUAGUGGUGUAGGGGUAAAAUCCGUAGAUAUCACUAGGAAUACCUAAAGCGAAGGCGAUCUCCUGGAACAUUACUGACGCUAAGGCGUGAAAGCGUGGGGAGCAAACAGGAUUAGAUACCCGAGUAGUC